rnacentral:rRNA from 1 species
CCUACGGGUGGCAGCAGUGAGGAAUAUUGGUCAAUGGGCGAGAGCCUGAACCAGCCAAGCAGCGUGAAGGAUGAAUGUCCUGCGGAUUGUAAACUUCUUUUAUAAAGGAACAAAGUCAGGGACGUGUGCCCUUAUGUGUGUACUUGAUGAAAAAGGAUCGGCUAACUCCGUGCCAGCAGCCGCGGUAAUACGGAGGUGGCAAGCGUUGUCCGGAUUUACUGGGUGUAAAGGGCGUGCAGCCGGGCCGAUAAGUCAGAUGUGAAAGCCGCGGGCGUAACCCGCGCACCGCCUUUGAAACUAGGGGUCUUGAGUAACGGAGAGGUAAGCGGAAUUCGCGGUGUAGCGGUGAAAUGCGUAGAUAUCGGGAAGAACACCAGUGGCGAAGGCGGAUGGCUGGACGGAAACUGACGGUGAGGCGCGAAAGCGUGGGGAGCGAACAGGAUUAGAUACCCUAGUAGUC